CAGAGUUUCAGUAUUUCAGUGUUUCAGUGUUUCAGUAUUUUAGUGUUACAGCAUUUUAAUGUUUCAGUGUUUCAGUGUUUCAGAGUUUCAGUGUUUCAGUGUUUCAGUGUUUCAGUGUUUCAGUAUUUCAGUGUUUCAGUGUUUCAGUAUUUCAGUGUUUCAGUGUUUCAGAGUUUCAGUGUUUCAGUGUUUCAGUGUUUCAGUGUUUCAGUAUUUUAGUGUUACAGCAUUUUAAUGUUUCAGAGUUUCAGUGUUCAGUGUUUCAGUGUUUCAGUGUUUCAGUGUUUCAGUGUUUCAGUAUUUCAGUGUUUCAGUGUUUCAGUGUUUUAGUGUUUCAGUGUUUUAGUGUUCAGUGUUUCAGUGUUUCAGUAUUUCAGUGUUUCAGUGUUUCAGUGUUUCAUGCGUUCAGUAUUUCAGUGUUUCAGUGUUUCAGUGUUUCAGUGUUUUAGUGUUUCAGUGUUUUAGUGUUUCAGUAUUUCAGUGUUUCAGUGUUUCAGUGUUUCAGUGUUUUAGUGUUUCAGAAUUUCAGUGUUUCAGAAUUUCAGUGUUUCAGUGUUUCAGUGUUUCAGUGUUUCAGUAUUUUAGUGUUACAGCAUUUUAAUGUUUCAGUGUUUCAGUGUUUCAGUGUUUUAGUGUUUCAGUGUUUCAGUGUUUCAGUGUUUUAGUGUUUCAGUAUUUCAGUGUUUCAGUGUUUCAGUGUUUCAGUGCUUCAGUAUGUGAGUGUAUGAAAGUUAUACACUCUGUAUUAAUCUGAAAUAUAUGAGUGAGCUGGAGAGUCGCUUCCGUCAGCUGUUACAUGUUUGAAGACCGUGAGGUUU
ensembl:lncRNA